AGCGUACACGGUGGAUGCCCUGGCAGUCAGAGGCGAUGAAGGACGUGCUAAUCUGCGAUAAGCGUCGGUAAGGUGAUAUGAACCGUUAUAACCGGCGAUUUCCGAAUGGGGAAACCCAGUGUGUUUCGACACACUAUCAUUAACUGAAUCCAUAGGUUAAUGAGGCGAACCGGGGGAACUGAAACAUCUAAGUACCCCGAGGAAAAGAAAUCAACCGAGAUUCCCCCAGUAGCGGCGAGCGAACGGGGAGCAGCCCAGAGCCUGAAUCAGUGUGUGUGUUAGUGGAAGCGUCUGGAAAGGCGCGCGAUACAGGGUGACAGCCCCGUACACAAAAAUGCACAUACUGUGAGCUCGAUGAGUAGGGCGGGACACGUGGUAUCCUGUCUGAAUAUGGGGGGACCAUCCUCCAAGGCUAAAUACUCCUGACUGACCGAUAGUGAACCAGUACCGUGAGGGAAAGGCGAAAAGAACCCCGGCGAGGGGAGUGAAAAAGAACCUGAAACCGUGUACGUACAAGCAGUGGGAGCACGCUUAGGCGUGUGACUGCGUACCUUUUGUAUAAUGGGUCAGCGACUUAUAUUCUGUAGCAAGGUUAACCGAAUAGGGGAGCCGAAGGGAAACCGAGUCUUAACUGGGCGUUAAGUUGCAGGGUAUAGACCCGAAACCCGGUGAUCUAGCCAUGGGCAGGUUGAAGGUUGGGUAACACUAACUGGAGGACCGAACCGACUAAUGUUGAAAAAUUAGCGGAUGACUUGUGGCUGGGGGUGAAAGGCCAAUCAAACCGGGAGAUAGCUGGUUCUCCCCGAAAGCUAUUUAGGUAGCGCCUCGUGAAUUCAUCUCCGGGGGUAGAGCACUGUUUCGGCAAGGGGGUCAUCCCGACUUACCAACCCGAUGCAAACUGCGAAUACCGGAGAAUGUUAUCACGGGAGACACACGGCGGGUGCUAACGUCCGUCGUGAAGAGGGAAACAACCCAGACCGCCAGCUAAGGUCCCAAAGUCAUGGUUAAGUGGGAAACGAUGUGGGAAGGCCCAGACAGCCAGGAUGUUGGCUUAGAAGCAGCCAUCAUUUAAAGAAAGCGUAAUAGCUCACUGGUCGAGUCGGCCUGCGCGGAAGAUGUAACGGGGCUAAACCAUGCACCGAAGCUGCGGCAGCGACGCUUAUGCGUUGUUGGGUAGGGGAGCGUUCUGUAAGCCUGCGAAGGUGUGCUGUGAGGCAUGCUGGAGGUAUCAGAAGUGCGAAUGCUGACAUAAGUAACGAUAAAGCGGGUGAAAAGCCCGCUCGCCGGAAGACCAAGGGUUCCUGUCCAACGUUAAUCGGGGCAGGGUGAGUCGACCCCUAAGGCGAGGCCGAAAGGCGUAGUCGAUGGGAAACAGGUUAAUAUUCCUGUACUUGGUGUUACUGCGAAGGGGGGACGGAGAAGGCUAUGUUGGCCGGGCGACGGUUGUCCCGGUUUAAGCGUGUAGGCUGGUUUUCCAGGCAAAUCCGGAAAAUCAAGGCUGAGGCGUGAUGACGAGGCACUACGGUGCUGAAGCAACAAAUGCCCUGCUUCCAGGAAAAGCCUCUAAGCAUCAGGUAACAUCAAAUCGUACCCCAAACCGACACAGGUGGUCAGGUAGAGAAUACCAAGGCGCUUGAGAGAACUCGGGUGAAGGAACUAGGCAAAAUGGUGCCGUAACUUCGGGAGAAGGCACGCUGAUAUGUAGGUGAAGUCCCUCGCGGAUGGAGCUGAAAUCAGUCGAAGAUACCAGCUGGCUGCAACUGUUUAUUAAAAACACAGCACUGUGCAAACACGAAAGUGGACGUAUACGGUGUGACGCCUGCCCGGUGCCGGAAGGUUAAUUGAUGGGGUUAGCCGCAAGGCGAAGCUCUUGAUCGAAGCCCCGGUAAACGGCGGCCGUAACUAUAACGGUCCUAAGGUAGCGAAAUUCCUUGUCGGGUAAGUUCCGACCUGCACGAAUGGCGUAAUGAUGGCCAGGCUGUCUCCACCCGAGACUCAGUGAAAUUGAACUCGCUGUGAAGAUGCAGUGUACCCGCGGCAAGACGGAAAGACCCCGUGAACCUUUACUAUAGCUUGACACUGAACAUUGAGCCUUGAUGUGUAGGAUAGGUGGGAGGCUUUGAAGUGUGGACGCCAGUCUGCAUGGAGCCGACCUUGAAAUACCACCCUUUAAUGUUUGAUGUUCUAACGUUGACCCGUAAUCCGGGUUGCGGACAGUGUCUGGUGGGUAGUUUGACUGGGGCGGUCUCCUCCUAAAGAGUAACGGAGGAGCACGAAGGUUGGCUAAUCCUGGUCGGACAUCAGGAGGUUAGUGCAAUGGCAUAAGCCAGCUUGACUGCGAGCGUGACGGCGCGAGCAGGUGCGAAAGCAGGUCAUAGUGAUCCGGUGGUUCUGAAUGGAAGGGCCAUCGCUCAACGGAUAAAAGGUACUCCGGGGAUAACAGGCUGAUACCGCCCAAGAGUUCAUAUCGACGGCGGUGUUUGGCACCUCGAUGUCGGCUCAUCACAUCCUGGGGCUGAAGUAGGUCCCAAGGGUAUGGCUGUUCGCCAUUUAAAGUGGUACGCGAGCUGGGUUUAGAACGUCGUGAGACAGUUCGGUCCCUAUCUGCCGUGGGCGCUGGAGAACUGAGGGGGGCUGCUCCUAGUACGAGAGGACCGGAGUGGACGCAUCACUGGUGUUCGGGUUGUCAUGCCAAUGGCACUGCCCGGUAGCUAAAUGCGGAAGAGAUAAGUGCUGAAAGCAUCUAAGCACGAAACUUGCCCCGAGAUGAGUUCUCCCUGACUCCUUGA
rnacentral:rRNA from 1 species